rnacentral:rRNA from 1 species
AUACGUAGGGGGCGAGCGUUGUCCGGAAUGAUUGGGCGUAAAGGGCGCGUAGGCGGCGCGGUAAGUCUGGAGUGAAAGUCCUGCUUUCAAGGUGGGAAUUGCUUUGGAUACUGCCGCGCUUGAGUGCAGGAGAGGUUAUCGGAAUUCCCGGUGUAGCGGUGAAAUGCGUAGAGAUUGGGAGGAACACCAGUGGCGAAGGCGACUUACUGGACUGUAACUGACGCUGAGGCGCGAAAGUGUGGGGAGCAACCAGGAUUAGAUACCCUGGUAGUCCACACUGUAAACGAUGAAUGCUAGGUGUAGGGGGUAUCGACCCCUUCUGUGCCGCAGUCAACACAAUAAGCAUUCCGCCUGGGGAGUACGGCCGCAAGGUUGAAACUCAAAGGAAUUGACGGGG